UAGGGAAUCUUCCGCAAUGGGCGAAAGCCUGACGGAGCAACGCCGCGUGAGUGAUGAAGGUCUUCGGAUCGUAAAACUCUGUUAUUAGGGAAGAAUAAAUGUGUAAGUAACUAUGCACGUCUUGACGGUACCUAAUCAGAAAGCCACGGCUAACUACGUGCCAGCAGCCGCGGUAAUACGUAGGUGGCAAGCGUUAUCCGGAUUUAUUGGGCGUAAAGCGAGCGCAGGCGGUCAAUUAAGUCUGAUGUGAAAGCCCCCGGCUCAACCGGGGAGGGUCAUUGGAAACUGGUUGACUUGAGUGCAGAAGAGGAGAGUGGAAUUCCAUGUGUAGCGGUGAAAUGCGUAGAUAUAUGGAGGAACACCAGUGGCGAAGGCGACUCUCUGGUCUGUAACUGACGCUGAGGCUCGAAAGCGUGGGUAGCAAACAGG
rnacentral:rRNA from 1 species